GAAGAACCGUGCGAACGUUGUUCGGAAUCACUGGGCUUAAAGGGCGCGUAGGCGGGCCCUCCGGUCAAGGGUGAAAUCCCCCGGCUCAACCGGGGAAGCGCCUUUGAUACCGAGGGCCUCGAGGGGGGUAGGGGCGCGUGGAACUUCCGGUGGAGCGGUGAAAUGCGUAGAGAUCGGAAGGAACGCCGGUGGCGAAAGCGACGCGCUGGACCCCUUCUGACGCUGAGGCGCGAAAGCCAGGGGAGCGAACGGG
rnacentral:rRNA from 1 species